CCUACGAGUGGCAGCAGUGAGGAAUAUUGGUCAAUGGACGAGAGUCUGAACCAGCCAAGUAGCGUGAAGGAUGACUGCCCUAUGGGUUGUAAACUUCUUUUAUAUGGGAAUAAAAUGUUCCACGUGUGGGAUUUUGUAUGUACCAUAUGAAUAAGGAUCGGCUAACUCCGUGCCAGCAGCCGCGGUAAUACGGAGGAUCCGAGCGUUAUCCGGAUUUAUUGGGUUUAAAGGGUGCGUAGGUGGAUUGAUAAGUUAGUUGUGAAAGGUUGCGGCUCAACCGUGAAACUGCAUAUAAUACUGGCAGACUAGAGUACAGUAGAGGUAGGCGGAAUGCGUGGUGUAGCGGUGAAAUGCUUAGAGAUCACACAGAACACCGAUUGCGAAGGCAGCUCACUAAACUGCAACUGACACUGAGGCUCGAAAGUGUGGGUAGCAAACAGGAUUAGAUACCCUUGUAGUC
rnacentral:rRNA from 1 species